CGGGUCCCGUGCAAUGCCGCCGCGUGAAUCCUGUCAGGUUCGGAAGAAAGCAGCAGUAAGCGUUGUGCACAUGUGCCGUGGGGGUUCCUGGCU
rnacentral:SRP_RNA from 1 species